UCUCUAGGGUGGCCAUGUACAUUGUCUGUGGGGUGACACAAAUGACAAGCUGCAUCAAGCCAGUCCCCAAGACCUAUAAGGAAUGCUACCCAGCCCUGUAAUGAGAAUUACUGUUGUCAUAAUUUUUCCUAGUCAAUUUUAAUCCGGAAACAACACACCCAUUUAAAUAAAAUAAAAAUAAAAUCCCCAGGAAGAGAAUCAAUGUCUGAUUCCAAGAAAACCUGAAGAUUUCAGCCUUUACAAAGAAAGUCUAAUCCUGCCAAAAUUUAGUACAUUUUACAUCUAAUUUUGCUCUGAUUUAUGACUAAAUUUCCUGAGUACUGAUGGUAUAUAAAAAACUAUUAACUCUGUGGAGGCAAUUGUUAGUUUUUGUAAUAAAAAAUGCAUACUGCUUAUACCAUUAUUGCUUAGGAAAUUAAGGAACACAGCUUCUAAUACCCUGUGCAUGGAAUACUGUACCAAACCACUUAACUUGCAAUAAUAGAGUAUUGACUGGGUACAGUGAUAUGUGAGACACAGUUGCAGCCAGAUUAAGCCACCAUCACACUGUGCUCGAUAGAGCGAUAGAGUCGCUCUCACAAUACAUUCAUUGCACCUCAGCCAAAGAAUUCCAAACAGAUUAGCUAUGAAAAGACCAGCUGCAAAAUACAUACACUUUUCCUUUUGUUUUUGAAGACUUAAUUUAAAUGCUUACUUAUUUCUAUUCCUAUAUUAAAAUGAUCUUUAGAACUAAGUAAUA
rnacentral:lncRNA from 1 species